rnacentral:rRNA from 1 species
GAUGAACGCUGGCGGCGUGCCUAAUACAUGCAAGUCGAGCGAACAGACGAGGAGCUUGCUCCUCUGACGUUAGCGGCGGACGGGUGAGUAACACGUGGAUAACCUACCUAUAAGACUGGGAUAACUUCGGGAAACCGGAGCUAAUACCGGAUAAUAUAUUGAACCGCAUGGUUCAAUAGUGAAAGACGGUUUUGCUGUCACUUAUAGAUGGAUCCGCGCCGCAUUAGCUAGUUGGUAAGGUAACGGCUUACCAAGGCAACGAUGCGUAGCCGACCUGAGAGGGGGAACGGCCACACGGGAACUGAGACACGGUCCAGACUCCUACGGGAGGCAGCAGUAGGGAAUCUUCCGCAAUGGGCGAAAGCCUGACGGAGCAACGCCGCGUGAGUGAUGAAGGUCUUCGGAUCGUAAAACUCUGUUAUUAGGGAAGAACAAAUGUGUAAGUAACUAUGCACGUCUUGACGGUACCUAAUCAGAAAGCCACGGCUAACUACGUG